CCCCCCCCCCCCCCCGCCCCAGUAGCUCCAAAACAAACAAACCCCACAUUCUCCAGUCUUAGGUCUUCAAGGAUGAACAGACAUUGCAGAAAGGCAUGGUUGGGAACAAAAAAAAUUGCUCUCCACUCCCCCAGCCCCCUCCACACCUUGGGCACAUUUCCCUGGAGCUGCCCCAGUGUUCUUUGUCAGUGUAGGAAGAAGCAAAAAUCUAAAUGGAGUCAGGAUGGCCUCCCACAUGGGCACAAGGGCAAGGCUGGGGACAGCUGGGUCUCCUCAUCUUAUUUCCCAGGUCUAGGCUGAUUUCUAUUAAUAAUUAAAUUAAUCAUUGUUCUCCUAGACCUCACUUCUUAAUGUGAUUCCAGGGAACUGGCCACAUUCCAAAAUUCAUAAUCUAAGGUAGUGAAAGAACGUGAACAUCAAGACAGUUUGGCUGGGCUCAGAGGCUCACAUCUGUAAUCCCAGUACUUUGGGAGGCCGAGGGUAGAUCCCUUGAGCCCAGGAGUUCGAGACCAGCCUGGGCAACAUGGCGAAAUCCCAUCUCUACAAAAAAUACAAAAAUUAGCCAGAUGUGGUGGCAUGUGCUUGUAGUCCCAGGUACUUGGGAGACUGCAGUGGAAGGAUUGCCUGAGCCCGGGAAAGGGAGGUUGCGGUGAAUGGUGAUCCCGCCACUGCACUCCAGCCUGGGUGACAGUGUAAGACUCUAUCUCAAAAACAAAACAAAACCAAAGAUUCAUUUCUUAUUGAUAAAGCAAGCUCCUUGGAGAAAGAUCUUGGAACCUCAUUGGGGGUGGGGGUGGGGGUGGGGCUUCUUCAAUCCAGCCGAGCUGGCUGUGAAACCCCCAGGCUUUGGUACCACGUGAGCUCCAGUCCCAGCUCUGACUGACUGUGUGAACUUGGCUAUGCAUUCAAAGGCCUCUGAGCCUCAGUUUCCUCAUCUGUAGAAGAGAUCCAGGAACCCGUCAUCCUGGCUAGCAGUGGAAGUCAAAGGUGCUCAUGGAAAGCCCUUGCUGGCUGGAACAAGGGAGGCGUGAACUGUGGAAGUCCUUGGAUCAAGGUCCUCCCCACUUCCCGCUGCCUUUUUGGUCCUUCUUGCGUGCUCUUUGUGAUUUAAUGGCUUAGUAGGUUGAAUCAUGUCCCCCCAAAGUUUAUCUCUACCCCAAAUCUCAGAAUGUGACCUUACUUGGAAAAAGAGUCUUUGCAGAUAUAAUUAAGGUAAGAGUCAAGAUAAAAUCACACUGAAUUAGGGUGAGCCCUACAUGCAAUGAGACUGUCCUUACAAGAUACAGAAAAGAACACAUAGAGACUUUGGGGGAAAGGAGACUAUGUGCAAGGAUGGCAGAGAUUGGAGCCGAGGAGUGCCUGGGCCUACCAGAGGCUGCAAGAGACAGGGAGGACCGUCCCCUAGAGCCUCCAGAGGGAACAGAGCCCUGCCCACACCUUGACUUUGGACUCCUGGCCUCCAGAACUGUGAGAGGGGCAGCCAGGGAAACCGAAACAAUGUCAUUUCCCCCCAGACAUCGGUGUGGCUCAGCUCAAUCCAGUUCACAACAAAUAUGAAAUCCCUGCCCUACAGGACCAGGCCUCAGGAAGGGCUUGGGGGCCGCAGAGGCAAAUGAGACCAGGUCCAUCGACCCUACAGAACUGACAACCGGGACUCCCCACUCUGAAGCAGGCAGGCUGCCUGAGGGAGGGGGCCUCCCUCAAGAGGAGAGGGCAGGCGCUGACCUCCCGGGCCCUCCAGCAUUCUCUGGUUCCUGGCCCCGAGAUUCUGGUUUUCCACACAGGGCACCUACUGUCUCCCCCUUCCCUGACUCUGCCCAUGCACAAGGUGACCCCGGCUGCAAGCGUGCCAGGAGCUUUUCCCCACCUCUGCCUCGACAUCUGCCGCCUCUCCUCCUCUGGAGAGGGAGGCAGCUGAAGGACACCAGCCCCACGCCUUGCUGGAGCGGCUGAGAUCGCUGGGAGGAGGUUGGGAGAGGACUCAGGGGCUCAGGCUAGAUCAGGAGGGUGGGCCCUGCCUGCUUGUGAGGGGGCCCAGCACCAGGGGGAGCCCACAGUCUAGGGUGCUGUUCAGCCAAAUUGGCUACCACUGGGUUUGAGGUCUGUGGUUGUGCAGGGUUGAAGAGCUGGGUGUCAUUUGCCUCUGAGGCCCCCAAGCCCUUCCUGAGGCCUGGUCCUAUAGGGCAAGGAUGGACUAUUUGUUGUAAACUGGGUUGCGCUGAGAGCCACACUCAUGUUUAGGGGGAAAUGCCAUUGUAUUGGUUUCCUGUGACUGCCCUACAAAUAACCACAAAGAGGCGAGGGGAGAAGUGGGGGCUGUCCCUUCCACAGAGCUGCAAUCAAGCACAAAUGACUCUAAUAGUAUCAAUUUUGAGAGAGAGAGAUUUGGAGUUCACCACAAAUUCCCCAAACAAACAAUUUUACAAGAAGGACGUGAUCUGCCUGGCGUUACUGCUUAGUUCUGAAUGAGUGAUACCGACUGCAGCAGGUGACCAGGCCAAGCCCAGAAAUGGGCCACGGGGACCCCAAGCACAUGCUCUUCCCCCAGACUGCCACCAUCUUGCUUUUCCUUCAGACCUAGGACCCCACGAGAGGAGGGAUCUGGAGGCCAAGCCAGGAGCAGGACAACACAAACAGAGGCCUCAGAAGAAGACUCAGAGUGGGACAGGGGCUCCUUAAGUGAUCGGGACUGGAAGUGCGCAGAGAAGCCCGGCACGGCAGGGAGUUGUCUCUCCCUGGGGUGCUGCCAAGAUGAAGAAACUGAGAUUUAGAGAAGCCACUUGCCCAGUGUAGACAGCGAGAAGGACAGGUCCAGGUCUGCUUGAUGAUGACGCCUGUGUCUUCUCUGCUGUGUGAUCCUAAUCACGUUGGGAGGUUCCUGAGGAAGCAGAGGAUUUUGCCCUUGCAUUAGAGCCACAGCAGCUCUACUGGGCAGAUACACUCACAGUCCCGGAUCAUCGCAUGGACUCAUUCCAGCAAUGUUGUCUGCAGGCCAGGUCUGCCAGAUGAAUCCCCGCCCCACUGGCAAUGGAUUCCGCAGCCCGUGGACACACUUUCUUCCUUCCCGUUCACGUGGCUAUUUCUCUGAGAACCAGCAGCAGUGCUAGGAGGAGGGAAGGAAGUUAUUGACUCUGUCACUCAUUAGCAUCUCCGAGGAAGUGUGACCAGGAGGAGGCUGGAGAGGCUGUCUAUCCGUGGUUUCCUGCUGUUGAACCCAUGGCUGGCCCUGAUGGAGGACACCUGCGGAAUAGGCACGUUGUCCACAACAUUCUCAAUCCUCAGCGUUCACUUGGAUCUUGUGCCGUGAUUACCACUCACAUGAACACUAGCCUCCGCCCCGCCUCGGCCCCGAGUAGACUGCGCUGGAAUGCUCCUCACCCUGUCGGCUUAUUAAUGGUUAGCAGCUGUUAAUAAGUGAGAGCACUGGAAAAGGCCAGCGCUUUGGAAACCUGGUUUCUGUACUUCCUAUCUGUGUGGGCUUGGGUGUGCCUUACUCCGUCUGUGCCUUGGUUUUCUCGCUAUGUAAUGCAUAAUGCCUUGCAGCAUUGCUGUGUGGCUCAAGGACCAUGAAUAUUGACGAUCCAGCGCACUGUAGGCACCCAAGAGCGGUGGACACUGAUACCAUUAUCAAUGGACUUGGGCCAGUAAAACAGGGAGGAAGUCAAGGCUCCUAAGUGAAACCAUUGAGUUGUUUGUUUUGAGAUGGAGUCUCGCUCUGUUGCCCAGGCUGGAGUGCAGUGGUGCAAUCUUGGCUCACUGCAACCCUCCGCCUCCCGGGUUCAAGCGAUUCUCCUGCCUCAGCCUCCCGGGUAACUGGGACUACAGGUGCACGCCACCACACCCAGCUAAAUUUUGUAUUUUUGGUAUAGAAGGGGGUUCACCAUGUUGGUCAGGCUGGCCUUAGGCUCUUGACCUCAAGUGAUCCACCCGCCUCGGCCUCCCAAAGUGUUGGGAUUAUAGGUGUGAGCCACUGCACCUGGCCGAAACCUUGAGUUUUAUGAACUUCAGUGCCAAUUUAUUACAGCCCUUGGGGUGUGGCCUGGGUUGGACUCUAAUGAAGAGAGUUGAAUCUCCUAGUAGUCAGCUGGCAUCUUAGCAUACACUGAAGCAAGGGUUGACAUUUUUAUGUGAGGACAGGCUUCAAAGUCUUUCGAGCUUCCUUGCUUGGUCCAGGGAACUGGGAAAGAAAAAUUUAAGGGAUUUACGCUGCCUUCUGGGUAGGAGUGUAACUUCCUGUUGCUGCUGUAACAAUAGUUACCACAUGCUCAGUUGCUUAAAACAACACAAAUUUAUUCUCUGACAGUUCUGGAGGCCAGAAGUUCAAAAUGAGCUCCAUGAGUUUAAAACCAAGGUGUCAUCAGGGCUGGUUCUUUUUUUUUUUUUUCUUGAGACCGAGUCUCACUCUGUCACCCAGGCUGCAGUGCAGUGGCGCAAUCUCCGCUCACUGCAAGCUCCGCCUCCCGGGUUCAAGUGAUUCUCCUGCCUCAGCUUCCCAAGUAGCUGGGACUACAGGCGCCCACCACCACGCCUGGCUAAUUUUUUGUAUUUUUAGUAGAGACAGGGUUUAACCAUGUUAGCCAGGAUGGUCUCGAUCUCCUGACCUUGCAAUCUGCCCGCCUUGGCCUCCCAAAGUGCUGGGAUGACAGGUGUGAGCCACUGCACCUGGCUAGGGCUGGUUCUUUCUGGAGGCUCAGAGGGGAAUCCAUUUCCUUGUCUUUUCCAGUUUCUAGAAGCUGCCUACAGUCCUUGGCUCAUGGCUACUUCUCUAUCUCCAAAGCACAUCACUCUGCCCUCUGCUUCCACAGUCACAUCCCCUUCUUUUACCUUUGAACCUCUUGUCUCCCUCUUUUCUUUUCUUUUUUUUUUUUUUUUUUUGAGACAGGGUUUCACUCUGUCACCCAGGCUGGAGCGCAGUGGUGUGUUCACAGCUCACUGCAGCCUUGACCUCUUGGGGCUCAAGUGAUCCUCCUGCCUCAGCCUCCAAGUAGGUGGGACCACAGAUGUAUACCACCAUGCCUAGCUAACUUCUUAAUUUUUUGUAGAGACGAGGUCUCCCUUUGUUGCCUAGGCUGGUCUUGAACUUACUCAGUAUCAUGAGAACAGCACGGGGGAAACUGCCCCCAUGAUUCAAUUACUUCCUACCAGGUCCCUCCCACAACACGUGGGCAUUAUGGGAUUACAAUUCAAGCUGAGAUUUGAGUGGGGACAGAAAGCCAAACCAUAUCAUUUCACCCCUGGCCCCUCCCAAAUGUCAUGUCCUCACACUUCAAAACACAAUCAUGCACUUCCAACGGUCCCCCAAAGUCUUAACUAUUCCAGCAUGAGCCCAAAAGUCCAAGUCCAAAGUCUCACCUGAGACAAGGCAAGUCCCUUUCACCUUUGAGCCUGUGAAAUCAAAAGCAGGUUAGUUACUUCCUAGAUACAAUGGGGGUACAGGCAUUGGGUAAAUGCACCCAUUCCAAAUGAGAGACAUUGGCCAAAACAAACGGGCUACAGGCCCCAUGCAAGUCCGAAAUCCAACGGGGCAGUCAUUAAACCUGAAAGUUCCAAAAUGAUCUCCUUUGAUUCCAUGUCUCACAUCCAGGUCACGCUGAUGCAAGAGGUGGGCUCCCACGCUCCUCCCAGCUGCUUUCAUGGGCUGGUGUUGAGUGUCUGUGGCUUUUCCAGGUGCACAAUGCAAGCUGUUGGUAGAUCUACCAUUCUGGGGCCUGGAGGAUGGUGGCUCUCUUCUCACAGCUCCACUAGGCACCGCCCCAAUGGGGACUCUGCGUGGGGGCUCCAAUCCCACAUUUCCCUCCUGCACUGCCCUAGCAGAGGUUCUCCAUAGCAGGGAGCUCCACCCCUGCAGCAAAUUUCUGCCUGGACAUCCAGGUGUUUUCAUACAUCCUCUGAAAUCUAGGUGGAGGUUCCCAAACCUCAAUUCUUUUUCCUUUUGGAGACAGAGUCUUGUUCUGUUGACCAGGCUGGAGUGCAGUGGCAUGAUCUCAGCUCACUGUAACGUCUGCCUCCCGGGCUCAAGCAAUUCUCCUGCCUCAGCCUCCUGACUAGCUGGGAUUACAGGGGUGUGCCACCACGCCUGGCUAAUUUUUGUAUUUUUAGUAGGGA